GACGAACGCUGGCGGCAUGCUUAACACAUGCAAGUCGAACGGAAGGGCCCUGCUUUUGUGGGGUGCUCGAGUGGCGAACGGGUGAGUAACACGUGAGUAACCUGCCCUUGACUUUGGGAUAACUUCAGGAAACUGGGGCUAAUACCGGAUAGGAGCUCCUGCUGCAUGGUGGGGGUUGGAAAGUUUCGGCGGUUGGGGAUGGACUCGCGGCUUAUCAGCUUGUUGGUGGGGUAGUGGCUUACCAAGGCUUUGACGGGUAGCCGGCCUGAGAGGGUGACCGGCCACAUUGGGACUGAGAUACGGCCCAGACUCCUACGGGAGGCAGCAGUGGGGAAUAUUGCACAAUGGGCGGAAGCCUGAUGCAGCAACGCCGCGUGCGGGAUGACGGCCUUCGGGUUGUAAACCGCUUUCGCCUGUGACGAAGCGUGAGUGACGGUAAUGGGUAAAGAAGCACCGGCUAACUACGUG
rnacentral:rRNA from 1 species